rnacentral:rRNA from 1 species
UCAGACGAUGCGUCAUGCAUAUCAAUAAGCGGAGGAAAAGAAACUAACAAGGAUUCCCCUAGUAACGGCGAGUGAAGCGGGAAGAGCUCAAAUUUGAAAUCUUAAAGGGUUUCCCUUUACGAAUUGUAGUUUAAAGAAGUGUUUUCUGUUGAGGUUUUGGUAAAAGUUCUUUGGAAUAGGACAUCAUAGAGGGUGAGAAUCCCGUAUUUGACCUUUACUUUCAACCUUGUGAUACACUUUCAAAGAGUCGGAUUGUUUGGGAAUGCAGUCCAAAAUGGGUGGUAAAUUUCAUCUAAAGCUAAAUAUUGGCGAGAGACCGAUAGCGAACAAGUACCGUGAGGGAAAGAUGAAAAGAACUUUGAAAAGAGAGUUAAACAGUACGUGAAAUUGUCAAAAGGGAAGCGUUUGACACCAGUGUUGUUUUUCUGAAAAUCAAUUAAAGAACUGUUUAUGCUAAGUUGUUUAGACUUUAUCAGCUAUCUGUUUAGUUUUGAGCUUUUCUUUAAUGCACUUUUCAGUUAACAAGUCAACAUCAAUUUCUUUUGCUGUAAAAAAGCUUGAGGAAGGUGGCUUGAGAUUCGUCUUAAGUGUUUAUAGCCUCUUGCCUAUGCAGUCGGAGAGAUUGAGGUCUGCAGCGUAGAUCCUUCGGGGCUAAAUGCAUUUGUGCUAAGUUAUAGCAUUUUAUAGACAACUUGUUGACUAUGAUUUGUCUUGUAGCUUACUCGCUUAUGUUAUUUUACCUACGCUUAGGAUGUUGAGCGCAUGUCUCUCUCU